CAACAAUCCAGUUUAUCAGCUGUUAGGAUUUCUGGGAGUUGAAGCCCAAAACAUCUGGGGACCCACAGGUUGAAAACCACUGAUCCAGAGGCACCUGACUGAACCUACUACGGUCUCAUAUUAGCAUCCACUAAUCCACUGAAUCCAGGCAUUGUUGUUAGUAUAGACAAAUCCCAAGUAAAGAUGCAAGUUAUUGGGUUGGAGGAAAAACACACAAUGUAUUGCCUUAUCUCAUGAAAGGAGCUCUAUGUGUUUACCUCCAUACUAUGAGCCUCUAACUUGUUCCUCACUAGCAAAGGUUAGAUGACAUUCAGAUUGGCAAUAAUAUGAAGAAUUAUUGCCUGGCAAUUUUGUAGCAAGUGCAAACAAGAUAAGAUUUUAUUGACUUCGGUUGAAGCGCCAUAUUGGAGAACAGCCCCAUGGCUUUAAAACUAAUAUAACUUUCUUUUCUAAUCAACCAGAACAUGGAUUUGCUAAGCUACUUGGCAGAUUGUAAAGUUUCUGCUUUCUCUGGGCUUUUGGACAGUAGAGUUGAUGGUUUUAUUUUAUAUUCUACCAUAUUUAGCAUUAACUUAUUUGAGCUUUGCUCUUCCUUUGCUCUCCCACAACCUCUUUGGCACAUGCAUUUUAAAAGGAAAGUUUUGUUUCCAAAACUGAUGAUUAUGCAUGACAAACCAUGCCAACAUCAGUUAUGUUGACAUCUAACCAAAAAUAAAUCAGAAUCAACCACCGGUGUUCCAACUACAUUGGGAGCAUGUCUUGCAUUAGAAAAGAGAAAGAGAAAACCAAUAGAUUGACAGGUCAGUGUAUGGGCAUUAAUGAAUUUCAUUCUUACAUAAUUUGCUUAAAAACAAGUAUGGCAGUCAGUCUUUAUUUAAUUAUUUAAUUUCUAUCCCACCUUUUUUUCCAGUAUGGAACCUGUAGUUGUUGAAUUCAAAGCAUAUUGAAAGAACCCUAGGUCUUGGGGUUGUCACUUGCAGUCUGCUUUGUGAAUCUGAAAUCAGACUACCUCAAGUCUGCCAUGUGAUAUUUUGUUGCCUGGAUACAAGAUAACAUGUUCCUUCACCCCCUAAUCAAUGUUUAAAAAUUGAAUAGCUUGGUAUUGGAAUCUCACCUUCAAGCCCUGUGCCAGAAUCAGGGUUCUACAUUGUGUCUGAAAGUAAAAAGUUGGUUUAGGGACUUAGGACAUACUAGUCCACUCCCUUCACUUUAGCAUUCAUUGCCUGGAUUUCCAGAUGAGUACCAGAGUCUGGCCUCUUAGAGAGAGGUGAAAGAGAGCGAAACCACUGUCUUUAAAAAUCUUCCUUUGGAUUUGACUGUGUUUACUUAUUUUUAGUAUUGUAUUCACAGCAGCUGUUAAUACUUAAUGAAUAUUUCUUAAGGACAACUCCAGGAGUGGUCUUUUCUUAUACAGUACUAUCCUUGUAGCCUCACCAGGGCCCCACCUGCCAUGACAUCACAAGGAGUUAUCCCUAAGUUUCAAGUUUGUAUUCUAAAACCUCAGAAUUUAAGAGUGUCCCAAUACAACAACUAUGCUGCCACUCAAACAAAGCUGUCCCAAUUUACCCAAUAGUAGAGGUAUCCCUAACUGCUAACAACCUAUCAGAUCAAAGUUGUGCAUGGUAAAUUUCUUCUAGGCCUCACUAAUUUUCUGCAGAGGACUAGUGUACCAAAUUUUGUUCAUAAUACCAUUGAUUUGAUUAACAUGCAAGAUCUACACCGGUGGCUACAAGGUCAAGUAUACCAUCACUUUGCAUUAGAAAGGUAGUAUACUUGAUUCCAUCUAGCAAACUUUACAGAAUAUUCUGCUUUCAUCAUAUUUUUUUCAAGUUGUUUUUCAGAUGAUAUUUUGGUAAUGUAUGUUACUGUUAAUAUAUACAAGGUGUUUGAAAAAGAACUCCCUAGUUUUAAUGUGUUUUAACUUAAAACUAGGGAGUUCUUUUUCAAACACCCUGUAUAAUGCUACUCCAGGUGAUAUUUGAGGCUAAAUUUUUGAUCUCUUUAGACCCUCCUCAUUAUUGAAAGCAUUUCAGGGAACUGUGGACAUGAGGGAGACUUGAAGGCUGCAAAAAUGCUACAAGGGUUACACACCACGAGAGAAGAUGGGCCUAAUAAAUAGGAAAUGAUAUGAAUGCAGGCUAUGCCUAAACUCUGAGAGAGAGAUGCAACUUUUGGGAUAACUGAAAGUGACUCCCCCAAACUGAGAUCCUACAUAUAAUGACCCGAUCACAUGAAACUUCUAAAGCAUCCUAGGACUCUUCCCCACUUAUCCAGUCAUGGAUGAGUAUGCUGCUCAUCACACAAUGUUACUGGGCUUUUGACAGAGGCCCUGCCCACAACUGGAGUGGAAGCAUCGUACGACACUUCCCUUGGAACAUGCUUCCCAUUUUGUACUGCUUUGGCAAUGCCUCCCCCAUGUGAUAGUGGAGUAUUGCCACGACAACACAGAAUGUGGAGCAACAGAGUCACCACUUAUCCCUGCUGUUUCACCACUGAGGCUUCCAAAACGGCAUGAGAGAAUCUCCUGUGUGAUAAGGACAUAAAUCUCUGCCAGUGUAUUUAUAGGAGGCGGCUGGAAUCAGAGAAAGUAGAGCCUAUUCUCUCAGUCUGACUAUUGUUUCCAACUUACCAUAACAACUUACCAAGGUGUUAAUAGGUCAAUUUCUAAACCUCACACCCCACCCUAGCUGUAAAGGUGUUCCUGGAUUUGUUCUAGCUGAUUCUGAAUAGAGAUGGGGUAAGAAACAAUUUCUGAUCAGUUUCUGGAAUAAAAUACAAUCCACAUAUUAUUGUUGAGUGAGAUACUUUUGGUCACCUUGGAUAUCUUCUUCCACAAGAUCCCUCAAAACUACCUUUCUCACCAGUGAGAUGUCAGAUGGAGUCAGCUUCAUGAUAAAGGGAAUAUUACGUCUUGGUCACUUGGAUCUCACCCUGAUGCUCUAAAACAAAUCUUUGCUACUGGACCAGAUCCAGUAGCAAAGACCUGUGAGAAUUUAAUUUCUGUUUAUAUUUUAAAUUAGAUUUUAUUGAAAUCUCCAAAGUUUCAAUGUAGAAGAAACAAAAAGAAUUUGGUUUCAGAAUAGUUUUGAUUAGAAUUUACUAAUCUAUAUAAAAUCCAAAUUUAGGCAGACCUCCCACUACCCCCAAUAUAUUAUGACUGUUCUCAUCAAAUACACUAACAAUUCUCAAAGGAAACAUAACUUCUUAGCAUGUGCCUGAAUAUCUAACUCUGGUUUCAACAUAUAACACUUCUGUCUUGUUUCAUUUAAGUUUCCUCCUUUUCACCUCAAUCUAGCUCAAAAAGGAUUUCCAUUGGUCCCUUAUAUGUUUAUAGGAAAUGGUACAAGGAUAGCAGAUGGUAUGUCAUAAUCAUACUUCAUUUCUCAGAUACUUUUUGCUGACGUUUAUUGAAUAAUUUCCUUUCUUUUCCUUAUCCUUCACAUUUCCACAUAUUUCUCUCAUAUUGUGAUUCCCAGUAAAGUAACUGUGAUACACCACCCAUCGCGGUUGUAUGUUUUCCUUCUUGUGGUGAGAGGUAAACCAUGGUUCUUUUUUAUUUAUGUUUUUAAAGUAUGUUUCAUUCAUUAGUUGUGGUUUUUCAUUCAAUCCCACUGGUCAGUUAGAAAAAUGCCUCCGGGAGGAAUGAGUAGAUAUAAAAACAAAUACCCCAAUCCUACCAUAGUAUUAAAAACCACUAAAUAACUCCUUUAAAAAGUUAUUGUUAGCUCUACCAAUCUCUCUUAUGCUGUGAUAUUUGUCCCUGCAAAGACAGGAAGAGCAUCUGGAAAACUUACUUGCUGAACUACAAUUCUUAGAGUGUGCUGUACUGCACUUUUUGUCCCAGUUAUACAGGUGACAAUGUUGUAAAAUUAGCUCUAGUCAUAGUUCUAUGUGAAUUCUUAAACAAAACAUGACUGUGGUGACAAAUCAUCACUUGAUUUGUAAAAAUGUCCCAUUAUAUGAUAUUGUCAGAUUGAAACGGUCAGUUUAAAAAUAUAUAUCCAAGGAUUUUAAAUCUCUCCCCCCCCCCUUCUCUCUAAUCUUAACAAAGAUUACAAAAUUACAAUAUGUUAUGGUUGAGCCUUAUGGCUCCGAUACUGGGAGACGUGGUCGUAAGACUCCUCGGGAGUCAGAUACUCUCGAGGAGCGAGAAAGGAAGCGGCUGCGGGACUUAUUUGCAGAACCAUCUGACGAGGAUUCCUUUGAGGGUUUUACUGAGAGAAUGGAGGAAGAGAUGGUUAGCUCAGAGGAGGAUGACAUGGAAUGGACUCGUGUGAGGGAGGAUUUGGGUGCCACUGGCAAUGAUAGUAUGGAAGGCGAUUGGGGACCUUCAGGAUUAGACCCGUGGACAAGCUGGAGGGAUGGGACGGGAUCCACAGCUGGGGAUGCUGUGGGGCGUAGUCAAAGGUGUUUUAGUUCUGAUGAGGAAAGUGAUGAGGAAACGCCUGGAAUUAGGGUAACAGCUGAUAGCGAUGAGGAGCUGUAAACUGGCAUAAAAUGGGGUUUGGAAGCAAUGGCUAAUUGCGUUGGGCAAGGUAAUCUGGACGAACGCUUGGGCUCUGUGUGGGAAAUUCCUGAAGACGGGUGUGAUUCGUUUGCUGACUACCUUGGACCUCCGUCGUCUUCUUGACGGACGCCAUCUGUUUACUCUGGACUGACUGACUGACUGACUACGGCCUCGGACUCUCCUUCCUGUGAUUAUCGUUGAACCUGGUGAACUACAAACGUCUGUACCUGCCUUACGACCUUCGGACCGGAUUGGAACUUCGCUGACCGUUUCUGCCCUUGAUUGCUGCGUUUGUAUCUGGAAAUUGCUUGCUGUGUGGAGGAGUAACCUCUUAGUUACUCAAACAUAGCUUUUGGCAGCAGAGAAGCAUCUGCUGCCAGUUUUUUGGUAUUCCUUUGAACCUUUUGUUCACCAGCUUUUGUUUGUUUAAGUCCCAGGCUGAAGUAAGCUUUUUUGGUUUAACCCGGAUUAAACUCCGGUUUAAUCCGGUUUAUCUUUUGAACGUUUUUAUUGUGUCUUUUUACUUUUAAGGCCAAUGUUUGCCUAGCCCUUGUCUUUUACGGGGAUUUUUGGUUCUGUAACUCCAAUAAACUUUGUUAUAUCUUA